rnacentral:rRNA from 1 species
CCUACGGGAGGCAGCAGUGGGGAAUUUUGGACAAUGGGGGCAACCCUGAUCCAGCCAUGCCGCGUGCGGGAAGAAGGCCUUCGGGUUGUAAACCGCUUUUGUCAGGGAAGAAAUCCUUUGAGCUAAUACCUCGGAGGGAUGACGGUACCUGAAGAAUAAGCACCGGCUAACUACGUGCCAGCAGCCGCGGUAAUACGUAGGGUGCAAGCGUUAAUCGGAAUUACUGGGCGUAAAGCGUGCGCAGGCGGUUAUGCAAGACAGAUGUGAAAUCCCCGGGCUCAACCUGGGAACUGCAUUUGUGACUGCAUGGCUAGAGUACGGUAGAGGGGGAUGGAAUUCCACGUGUAGCAGUGAAAUGCGUAGAUGUGUGGAGGAACACCGAUGGCGAAGGCAAUCCCCUGGACCUGUACUGACGCUCAUGCACGAACGACGGUGGGGAGGACGAACGAAGGAGUUAGUAUACCCGUACGGUACGUACCGACCGACCCGUAAACCGUAACGUAGUACACGUAGGUUGGUUGGGUUAGGGUUUCGUUCUCUAGUAACGUAGACUACGUCGUGUAGUGACGCCGUGGGAGGACGGCGCGUAGUAGUUAACGUUACGAAGUUAAGUUAGUACGCGNGAGACGNGCGACGGACGACGACGAGGGAGGAGG